rnacentral:rRNA from 1 species
GAUGAACGCUAGCGGCAGGCUUAAUACAUGCAAGUCGAGGGGCAGCAUGAUUGUAGCAAUACAAUUGAUGGCGACCGGCGAACGGGUGCGGAACACGUACACAACCUUCCAACAAGUGGGGGAUAGCCCAGAGAAAUUUGGAUUAAUACCCCGUAACAUAGCGAUGUGGCAUCACAUUGCUAUUAUAGAUUUUUCGCUUGUUGAUGGGUGUGCGGCUGAUUAGAUAGUUGGCGGGGUAACGGCCCACCAAGUCUACGAUCAGCAGCUGAUGUGAGAGCAUGAUCAGCCACACGGGCACUGAGACACGGGCCCGACUCCUACGGGAGGCAGCAGUAAGGAAUAUUGGACAAUGGACGCAAGUCUGAUCCAGCCAUGCCGCGUGAAGGAUUAAGGUCCUCUGGAUUGUAAACUUCUUUUAUAAGGGACGAAAAAAGGCUUUUCUAAGUCGUCUGACGGUACCUUAUGAAUAAGCACCGGCUAACACCGUGCCAGCCGCCGCAGUAAAAC